rnacentral:rRNA from 1 species
CCUACGGGAGGCAGCAGUGAGGAAUAUUGGUCAAUGGACGAGAGUCUGAACCAGCCAAGUAGCGUGAAGGAUGACUGCCCUAUGGGUUGUAAACUUCUUUUAUAUGGGAAUAAAAUGUUCCACGUGUGGGAUUUUGUAUGUACCAUAUGAAUAAGGAUCGGCUAACUCCGUGCCAGCAGCCGCGGUAAUACGGAGGAUCCGAGCGUUAGCCGGAUUUAUUGGGUUUAAAGGGAGCGUAGGUGGAUUGUUAAGUCAGUUGUGAAAGUUUGCGGCUCAACCGUAAAAUUGCAGUUGAAACUGGCAGUCUUGAGUACAGUAGAGGUGAGCGGAAUUCGUGGUGUAGCGGUGAAAUGCUUAGAUAUCACGAAGAACUCCGAUUGCGAAGGCAGUUCACUGGACUGCAACUGACACUGAGGCUCGAAAGUGUGGGUAUCAAACAGGAUUAGAUACCCCUGUAGUC